rnacentral:misc_RNA from 1 species
AGACGUACUGCCCCUAUGGCACGAGCGUGAAGAAGCUUUUGGAUGAAUUGGGGCAGUACGUCUUGCUGAAAACGACAACAGAAUUGGAAGAAACGAGCUCCUUGGCCUUGGUCAUCGCCAUCUCUGCCUCUCAAUCGUUCUCUCAGUCUCUCAGUGCUCUCAAUUAUCGUAUAAUGUUUGUUUCCUUCCUGAUUCCGUAGAACCCGGAUCUUGGUGGGCCUGUAUAUAUACACAAAGGGGGAAGAGGGUGGAAAUCUUU